rnacentral:lncRNA from 1 species
ACAGUGAGGUGCAGAUUGACUGCAGCCAUGAUGAUUCCACCCUCCUACUGAUGCUCUGGUACCAGCACCAAAAGCAGAGCCAGUCUAUGACCCUCAUUGGAUAUGGAUAUGUGGGCUCACCAAACUAUGAGGAUCAGUUUGAGAAACAAUUCAAACUAGAGAGAAAGGACAUAGUGAAAGGAUCUCUGAUUAUUUACAAAGCCAACCUGUCACACUCAGCUGUGUAUUUCUGCGCUGCAAGUACACAGUGAAGUGGUUUAAAGCCACUCCCUUACUAAAAACCAUCAUCACUGUGUUGCACACAGACUGCAUUUCAGCCAGCGUUUCUUCAUUUCAACUCCAGUAACACAAAUCUAGAGGAUGUAUCCAGAUGCGAUUGGACUUUUUCUCAUUCUCUUUCCAUGUAAUAUUUCACAGAUUCUAUUGGGACUUCUCUAUAUAAAUGUUGUCACCUCAUUCACCUCUUUUCUUUUUCCUUCACAGAUUUGGUUGAAAGUGUGAAGUUCCAAACAUCUGAGUCCAUUCUUGUCAAACAAUCUGGCAGAGAGGAAAUUCACUGCAGCCAUGAUGAUAACAGUCUCAUUCGAAUGCUGUGGUAUCAGCAAACAAACAGCCUUUUGAGAUUAAUUGGAUAUGGUAUCGCCGGUAACGAACCUGUGUAUGAGAAAGAGUUUGAAGGCCAGUUUGAGAUCAAAAUGACAGACAUGACAAGGGGAGUCCUCAUCAUCCACAGUGGGAAUGCGUCACACUCAGCUGUGUAUUUCUGCGCUGCCAGUACACAGUGAAGUGGUUUAAAGCCACUCCCUUACUAAAAACCAUCAUCACUGUGUUGCACACAGACUGCAUUUCAGCCAGCGUCUCUUCAUUCCAACUCCAGUAACACAAAUCUAGAGGAUGUAUCCAGAUGCGAUUGGACUUUUUCUCAUUCUCUUUCCAUAUUUGGCCGAAAGUGUGAAGUUCCAAACAUCUGAGUCCAUUCUUGUCAAACAAUCUGGCAGAGAGGAAAUUCACUGCAGCCAUGAUGUUGAGAGUCUCAUUCGAAUGCAGUGGUAUCAGCAAACAAACAGCCUUUUGAGAUUAAUUGGAUAUGGUAUCGCCGGUAACGAACCUGUGUAUGAGAAAGAGUUUGAAGGCCAGUUUGAGAUCAAAAUGACAGACAUGACAAGGGGAGUCCUCAUCAUCCACAGUGGGAAUGCGUCACACUCAGCUGUGUUUUUCUGCGCUGCCAGUAGGACUGCACAGUGACGUGGUUUAAAGCCACUCCCUUACUAAAAACCCCCAUCAUCUUGUUGCACACAGAGUCUCUUCAUCUACAGACAUUGGAUUUCAACUACAGAAUCACUAACGUAGAGGAUGUAUCCAGAUGUGUUCAGAUUUCUGUGUAAUCUUUCACAGAUAUUCUUUUGGGAAUUCUAUCCAUGAGAACUAGUUUGAGAUUACAGUGAAAUUCAUCAUCAUCCACAGUGGGGAUGUGUCACACUGGGCUGUGUGUUUCUGUGCUGCCAGUGUUAUAGAAACUGAAAGAUAAUGUCGAACUGCUGCCAUCAGGCAAAAGGUACAGAAGUCUGAAAAGCAGAACAACCAGAAUGAUCAACAGCUGCCUUCCACAAGCUGUUACACUCUUAAACUGCUGACCACUUUUAUAUUAUUCCCAUCCCCUGUUUAUCAUUGCUAUUUAUUUAUUAUACUUAUUUAUUAUACAGCCACUGCUUAGUGUCUUAGGGAUGUGUGUGUGUGUGUGUGUGUGUGUGUGCGUGUGUGUGUGUGUGUGAGUGUGUGUGUAGGUGUGUAGGUGUGUGUGUAGGUGUGUGUGUGGUGGAGUUGAGGCUGAAUGGGAUAAUUGUGUGAUGAGUGCCUUGUAUUUUUAAUUUUUCUAAUUGUAUUUACAUUGUUGAGUGCCU